rnacentral:rRNA from 1 species
ACUUAAAUUGAAGAGUUUGAUCAUGGCUCAGAUUGAACGCUGGCGGCAGGCCUAACACAUGCAAGUCGAGCGGUAGCACAGAGAGCUUGCUCUCGGGUGACGAGCGGCGGACGGGUGAGUAAUGUCUGGGAAACUGCCUGAUGGAGGGGGAUAACUACUGGAAACGGUAGCUAAUACCGCAUAACGUCGCAAGACCAAAGUGGGGGACCUUCGGGCCUCAUGCCAUCAGAU